AAGGGAAUCUUCCGCAAUGGGCGAAAGCCUGACGGAGCAACGCCGCGUGAGUGAUGAAGGUCUUCGGAUCGUAAAACUCUGCCAUUAGGGAAGCACAAAUGUGUAAGUAACUAUGCACGUCUUGACGGUACCUAAUCAGAAAGCCACGGCUAACUACGUGCCAGCAGCCGCGGUAAUACGUAGGUGGCAAGCGUUAUCCGGAAGUAUUGGGCGUAAAGCGCGCGUAGGCGGUUUUUUAAGUCUGAUGUGAAAGCCCACGGCUCAACCGUGGAGGGUCAUUGGAAACUGGAAAACUUGAGUGCAGAAGAGGAAAGUGGAAUUCCAUGUGUAGCGGUGAAAUGCGCAGAGAUAUGGAGGAACACCAGUGGCGAAGGCGACUUUCUGGUCUGUAACUGACGCUGAUGUGCGAAAGCGUGGGGAUCAAACAGG
rnacentral:rRNA from 1 species